rnacentral:rRNA from 1 species
UAGGGAAUCUUCCGCAAUGGGCGAAAGCCUGACGGAGCAACGCCGCGUGAGUGAUGAAGGUCUUCGGAUCGUAAAACUCUGUUAUUAGGGAAGAACAAAUGUGUAAGUAACUAUGCACGUCUUGACGGUACCUAAUCAGAAAGCCACGGCUAACUACGUGCCAGCAGCCGCGGUAAUACGUAGGUGGCAAGCGUUAUCCGGAAUUAUUGGGCGUAAAGCGCGCGUAGGCGGUUUUUUAAGUCUGAUGUGAAAGCCCACGGCUCAACCGUGGAGGGUCAUUGGAAACUGGAAAACUUCGGUGCAGGAGAGGAAAGUGGAAUUCCAUGUGUAGCGGUGAAAUGCGCAGAGAUAUGGAGGAACACCAGUGGCGAAGGCGACUUUCUGGUCUGUAACUGACGCUGAUGUGCGAAAGCGUGGGGAUCAAACAGG